AUUAUAAUCAGAAGAGAAGAACCAAGAUGGCGGCAUAAGUUACAGACCUGUGCAUGCUGUCUCCCACAACAACAUCGAGACUACCAACUAUAAAAGAAACAGUUGUCAUUCAGAACCAUGGGAAAGCUGGCCCAG